AGAGUUUGAUCCUGGCUCAGGAUGAACGCUAGCUACAGGCUUAACACAUGCAAGUCGAGGGGAAACGAUAUUGGAGGCUUGCUUCCGAUAGGCGUCGACCGGCGCACGGGUGAGUAACGCGUAUCCAACCUGCCCACCACUUGGGGAUAACCUUGCGAAAGUAAGACUAAUACCCAAUGACGUCUCUAGAAGACAUCUGAAAGAGAUUAAAGAUUUAUCGGUGAUGGAUGGGGAUGCGUCUGAUUAGCUUGUUGGGCGGGGUAACGGCCACCAAGGCUACGAUCAGUAGGGUUCUGAGAGGAACGGUCCCCCANAUUGGAACUGAGACACGGUCCAAACUCCGUACGGGAGGCA
rnacentral:rRNA from 1 species